ensembl:lncRNA
GAUAAUGCAGCACUGCGGAUGGAAGGGCAUGGCGGGGCUACCUGCGCUCAAGACCGUGACCUGGAUGCCUGCAGAUAGUCAGAAGGGCAAACCUUGUGUCCUGUGUACUCUGCCCCAAGGGCAUGUGAUGAUACAGGGUCCAAACACUGGGGUGGUGGUGGGAAGGUUCCUGUCACCUCUGUUGCUGAUUCGUGGCUGUGACAUCUUGCUGUUCCCUCAAUCAAUCAAUGAGCUCAGGAAGCUGUUUGCUACCCGUUGAUUGCAUGUCUGCCUGAGAGUCAUCAUUUCGUCUCGGGCCAACAUCAUGCUUUAACCCUGCCAUGGCUGCCAUUUCCCUGCUGCAUUGGGCUGGGGUCCUCAGGGAGGCUGCGUCACAGGUGAGGGCAGUGUCUCCUGCCCUCAUCUUUUAGGGAUUUCAUUGUUGAACUGUCCUCUGGAGAAAACGGGGGCUCAAGCCUGAAGAACCAUGGACAUCUGCAGAAUAGACAAGGGUGAUUGAUUGGAAGAUGCUUCUGGGAUUACUUUAUACAACACUGCAACUUCUGUCUUCCACGCUGACUCUGUUCCUUGCUGGCUUUGAUGAAGCAACCUGCUGGCUCUUCUCUCCAUCUUCUCUCUCGAGAGGUCCGUGCGGCAAAGAAACUGAAUAGGCCUCCAGCCAAGAACCAGCAAGGACCUGAGGCCCUCAGUCCAUCUCCCCACAAAUAUGUGAGGUUGGAAAUGGAUCCUUCCCUAGUCAAGCCAUCAAGUGAGACCACAGCCCUGGAGGCCACUCAUGACCCACCCUGAGGCAGAGGACCUGGUCAAGUUAUGCCCAGAUUCCCGACCCACAGAGACUGUGAGAUAAUGUAUGUUGUUUUCAGACACUAAGUUUGGGAUAAUUUGUUACAAAGCAAUAGAUAGCCAAUAUACCAUUUAUUAGAAGCACUGGUUCAUGCAUUCAACAAAUAUUUAUUUGCGAGGUACUAGCACGGGUGCUUGGCAUACAUCAGUGAACAAAAGAGUAAAAUUCUUGGUCUUCUGGAG